CCGAUUGACUAAGGUUUCCAGAGGAAGGCUCGUCCGCUCUGGGUUAGUCGGGUCCUAAGCUGAGGCCGACAGGCGUAGGCGAUGGAUAACAGGUUGAUAUUCCUGUACCACCUAUAAUCGUUUUAAUCGAUGGGGGGACGCAGUAGGAUAGGCGAAGCGUGCGAUUGGAUUGCACGUCUAAGCAGUAAGGCUGAGUAUUAGGCAAAUCCGGUACUCAUUAAGGCUGAGCUGUGAUGGGGAGAAGACAUUGUGUCUUCGAGUCGUUGAUUUCACACUGCCGAGAAAAGCCUCUAGAUAGAAAAUAGGUGCCCGUACCGCAAACCGACACAGGUAGUCAAGAUGAGAAUUCUAAGGUGAGCGAGCGAACUCUCGUUAAGGAACUCGGCAAAAUGACCCCGUAACUUCGGGAGAAGGGGUGCUCUUUAGGGUUAACGCCCAGAAGAGCCGCAGUGAAUAGGCCCAAGCGACUGUUUAUCAAAAACACAGGUCUCUGCUAAACCGUAAGGUGAUGUAUAGGGGCUGACGCCUGCCCGGUGCUGGAAGGUUAAGAGGAGUGGUUAGCUUCUGCGAAGCUACGAAUCGAAGCCCCAGUAAACGGCGGCCGUAACUAUAACGGUCCUAAGGUAGCGAAAUUCCUUGUCGGGUAAGUUCCGACCCGCACGAAAGGCGUAACGAUUUGGGCACUGUCUCAACGAGAGACUCGGUGAAAUCAUAGUACCUGUGAAGAUGCAGGUUACCCGCGACAGGACGGAAAGACCCCGUGGAGCUUUACUGUAGCCUGAUAUUGAAAUUCGGCACAGCUUGUACAGGAUAGGUAGGAGCCUUUGAAACGUGAGCGCUAGCUUACGUGGAGGCGCUGGUGGGAUACUACCCUAGCUGUGUUGGCUUUCUAACCCGCACCACUUAUCGUGGUGGGAGACAGUGUCAGGCGGGCAGUUUGACUGGGGCGGUCGCCUCCUAAAAGGUAACGGAGGCGCUCAAAGGUUCCCUCAGAAUGGUUGGAAAUCAUUCAUAGAGUGUAAAGGCAUAAGGGAGCUUGACUGCGAGACCUACAAGUCGAGCAGGGUCGAAAGACGGACUUAGUGAUCCGGUGGUUCCGCAUGGAAGGGCCAUCGCUCAACGGAUAAAAGCUACCCCGGGGAUAACAGGCUUAUCUCCCCCAAGAGUUCACAUCGACGGGGAGGUUUGGCACCUCGAUGUCGGCUCAUCGCAUCCUGGGGCUGUAGUCGGUCCCAAGGGUUGGGCUGUUCGCCCAUUAAAGCGGUACGCGAGCUGGGUUCAGAACGUCGUGAGACAGUUCGGUCCCUAUCCGUCGUGGGCGUAGGAAAUUUGAGAGGAGCUGUCCUUAGUACGAGAGGACCGGGAUGGACAUACCUCUGGUGUACCAGUUGUCGUGCCAACGGCAUAGCUGGGUAGCUAUGUGUGGACGGGAUAAGUGCUGAAAGCAUCUAAGCAUGAAGCCCCCCUCAAGAUGAGAUUUCCCAACUUCGGUUAUAAGAUCCCUCAAAGAUGAUGAGGUUAAUAGGUUCGAGGUGGAAGCAUGGUGACAUGUGGAGCUGACGAAUACUAA
rnacentral:rRNA from 1 species